ACUCAAAGGAAUUGACGGGGGCCCGCACAAGCGGAGGAACAUGUGGUUUAAUUCGAUGAUACGCGAGGAACCUUACCCGGGCUUGAAAUGCAGAGGAAUAAUUAUGAAAGUAGUUAGCCAGCAAUGGUCUCUGUGUAGGUGCUGCAUGGUUGUCGUCAGCUCGUGCCGUGAGGUGUCGGCUUAAGUGCCAUAACGAGCGCAACCCUUAUCGUUAGUUACUAACAGGUCAAGCUGAGGACUCUAGCGAGACUGCCACCGUAAGGUGUGAGGAAGGUGGGGAUGACGUCAAAUCAGCAAGGCCCUUACGUCCGGGGCGACACACGUGUUACAAUGGGAGGAACAGCAGGUCGCGACCCGGUGACGGGUAGCCAAUCUUAUAAAACCUCUCUCAGUUCGGAUCGGAGUCUGCAACCCGACUCCGUGAAGCUGGAUUCGCUAGUAAUCGCGCAUCAGCCAUGGCGCGGUGAAUACGUUCCCGGGCCUUGCACACACCGCCCGU
rnacentral:rRNA from 1 species